rnacentral:rRNA from 1 species
CAGUAGCCACGGUAAUACGUAGGGUGCAAGCGUUAAUCGGAAUUACUGGGCGUAAAGCGUGCGUAGGUGGUGGUUUAAGUCCGUUGUGAAAGCCCUGGGCUCAACCUGGGAAUUGCAGUGGAUACUGGGUCACUAGAGUGUGGUAGAGGAUAGUGGAAUUUCCGGUGUAGCAGUGAAAUGCGUAGAGAUCGGAAGGAACAUCUGUGGCGAAGGCGACUAUCUGGGCCAACACUGACACUGAGGCACGAAAGCGUGGGGAGCAAACAGGAUUAGAUACCCGAGUAGUCCCUGUCUCUUAUAC